UACGUAAUCAUGGAUAUUAGAGAAGAAAUUUGAUGGCGAUAACACAGUUUCUGGAAAUUAGCGUAAAAAAUCAAGAGGAGCACGAAUUUCGUCUUCAAUGCCUCAAUCAAAGACCAAAAAUGACAAGAUUAAAAG